AGAGUUUGAUCCUGGCUCAGAUUGAACGCUGGCGGCAUGCUUUACACAUGCAAGCCGAACGGCAGCAUAGGUGCUUGCACCUGAUGGCGAGUGGCGGACGGGUGAGUAAUGCAUCGGGACGUGUCCGGAAGAGGGGGAUAACUGUUCGAAAGAACAGCUAAUACCGCAUAAUAUCCGAGGAAGAAAGCUGGGGACCUUAGGGCCUGGCGCUUACGGGGCGACCGAUGUCUGAUUAGCUAGUUGGUGGGGUAAAAGCCUACCAAGGCGACGAUCAGUAGCUGGUCUGAGAGGACGACCAGCCACACUGGGACUGAGAAACGGCCCAGACUCCUACGGGAGGCAGCAGUGGGGAAUUUUGGACAAUGGGGGCAACCCUGAUCCAGCAAUGCCGCGUGUCUGAAGAAGGCCUUCGGGUUGUAAAGGACUUUUGUUGGGGAGCAAGGUGCACAGGUUAAGAGCUAGUGUACUUGAGAGUACCCAAAGAAUAAGGACCGGCUAACUACGUGCCAGCAGCCGCGGUAAUACGUAGGGUCCAAGCGUUAAUCGGAAUUACUGGGCGUAAAGAGUGCGCAGGCGGCUUUGUAAGCUUGAUGUGAAAUCCCCGGGCUCAACCUGGGAACUGCAUUGAGGACUGCAAGGCUAGAGUGUAGCAGAGGGGGGUAGAAUUCCACGUGUAGCAGUGAAAUGCGUAGAGAUGUGGAGGAAUACCGAUGGCGAAGGCAGCCCCCUGGGUUAACACUGACGCUCAUGCACGAAAGCGUGGGGAGCAAACAGGAUUAGAUACCCUGGUAGUCC
rnacentral:rRNA from 1 species